rnacentral:rRNA from 1 species
UACGGGGGGGGGCAAGCGUUGUUCGGAAUUACUGGGCGUAAAGGGCUCGUAGGUGGCCAACUAAGUCAGACGUGAAAUCCCUCGGCUUAACCGGGGAACUGCGUCUGAUACUGGAUGGCUUGAGUUCGGGAGAGGGAUGCGGAAUUCCAGGUGUAGCGGUGAAAUGCGUAGAUAUCUGGAGGAACACCGGUGGCGAAGGCGGCAUCCUGGACCGGUAUUGACGCUGAGGCGCGAAAGCCAGGGGAGCAAACGGG